GCUUAUGAGAAAACGGUUCAUGUUUCAAAUCAAAGUUCCCUGCCAUCGCUCUGGAACAUUCCCAGCGCUGGAGUUCAGGGUGGAUUUGAGUGAAUACUUCAACUGGCUGCAAGUCAGGACACAGACUAGCUCCUGAGCCCACAACAAAGCAAGAGGGAGGUGGGCUCAUCAGGUUCGAGUGAUUCUCGGCGAUGUGAAUGUGGAGAAGUCUCGUGUGGAUUCAGUACUAUCUUCAGGAAAGGUCUUCACUAACACACUGCAGCUCCUGUGACGCAAUGAUAGAAGGGGAGCGAUGGGAAAAGCUCCCGAGACUCUGGGGGAGAAAGGAGAGUGCUCAUGGGAUACAGGUACAGACAGCAUCUUCUGCCAGCUGGACUCUUGUCUGACCAGAUUAAGAAUCCUGUCAACUGUGUCUGAUCUGUGAAUACUGCUGCCAACAAUCCUGGAAAGACCCCAAAACGUCAUCCUUAAUGUCACUGAUGUUUAUGCUAGCAUCUAUUUUUAAACCCCCGAAUUCAGGCUCAGGAGAGAUUGUUAGCUAAGGAAUUAUUCUAAGCUCGUGUAGCAUACAAGCCGGCGGGGGAUGCUGGAUACACGGUUGGAUUGCUAACCCACCCUAAAGUUUGCAGUGCCAUGUCUUUGCAAGCGUAGUGAGAUGAAAGCUAAUGCCAAUGUACCAGCACUAUAAUAACAUCUCAGUUUGCCACGUAGACAUACCCUUGGAGAGCGUGUAUUAAACAAAUGGAGAGGUCUUGUUAAUUAACAUACUCAUCUUUUGGAUUUCAUAAAGCAGACUGGAUUUUGGAGGCCCUCCCAACAAGCCAUCCUGACUAAUAUUGCCUUGUGACCUGAUGGGAGCAGUGUAACCGUGUCAGUGCUAAAGGAUGCUGGAUGCUGUGCUUACGGCAGAACGGAGGUACAGAUGUGACCAUCUCUGUGACAAGGGCCCUGGGGUAUUGUGCUGUAGCACAGCACUCAUGUCUCCAUGCUGGAGGCUUGUGGCUGCCGUGUUGCUAAAAAAGAGACUUAUCAAUAAUAGACUCAGUCCUCGGUGUAGGAGGCUCCUGGACGAGGGACAGAUGUUGCUGCAUUCCACUAAUGGGGCUUAAUGUUGCUGAUAAGUCCGGAUAGCAGAACCGACUGCCAGCUGCUGGAGAGUGCUGCAGACUUGAUAAGUCACUCCCAGGUGAAGUGAAUCAUAUUUCCAUAACACGAAGUGCUGGAAACAAGUAUGUCAACAGACACGCCUACACGGCCCUGUCUUGUGGUAGAGCUGUCUGUGGACAGCAAACACCCUUACUUUUUUCUUCUUCUUUUUUCUAAACACUCAAACCUAUGAAUUCUUCCAUGCUAACGGGUUGGGUUUUUCUCAGUAUGCAGGGAAGUGGGACAUGGAGUGAAGAAGUCCUUUAAGAGCAGGAUUAAGCCAACAGGAAGCUGCUGGCCUUCACUGGAGAGAGGAAAAAUAAUCUGGGAGCUGGAAGGAAAGAGAGAGGAAGAAAGAGGGGAGGAAAACAGAGUGGUGAACACACAAGGGAGUGCUGGGAUGAAAAGGCACAGGGAGGCAGAGCAUAUGAACACUGUGCUCAGUCCUGGUUUCUGAGUCUUGCAAGCUGCUGCAGGAUGCAGAGGGGCUGGGGGAGGGGCAGGAUCCAGCACACGGCAGCCCCUGCCAGGGCGGAUCCAGGGGUGCACCGCUGCACUCGCACCCCUUUCACUCCUGCUUCACCCAAAGUUUCAAACCAAGUACCUGGCCGUGGCACCAGCAUUUCUAGUCCGGCAGCUGCCUUCAUGGCUCCUUGUCACCUACCUGAUCCCUUCUGAACUCUCCAGUCCUCAGGCCUUAACGACCCCUCUCCCCUUCCCACUGCUCUCAUGGACCAGCUAUCUGCCCUGCUCCCAGGUGCCCAGAUGUGACCUUGCAGCCCCGCAGGCUGGCUUUUAACACCUGCCAGGGCCCUUCCCCUUGCUCCAGCACAGCCCUCGAACUCCGGAUUGAUUCUGAACGGGCCACAAGUGGGGGCCGUGUGGGGCGGCGAGGCAGGAGACAAGAAUGGGACGCAAGUGGGGGCCGCGUGGGGCAGCGAGGUAGGAGACAAGAACGGGACACAAGUGGGGGCCGCGUGGGGCGGUGAGGCAGGAGACAAGAACGGGACACAAGUGGGGGCCGCGUGGAGCGGCGAGGCAGGAGACAAGAACGGGACACAAGUGGGGGCCGCGUGGGGCGGCGAGGCAGGAGACAAGAAUGGGACACAAGU